AAAGUUUGUUGCAUUGCUAGAAAAUGAAAAGCACCCUCGACGAGCUGAGCUCGUCCUUGGCCAUUUUUACCAGAAAUGCAUGGACGAACCCGGCUCGCCCAUGGCACGGAAGG
rnacentral:lncRNA from 1 species